CACUCUGCUCGGUCUUCUCAGAGCUGAUAGCAUCAUUAUCUUUGACGUUUUCUCAGGUUCUGUAAUUUGGGUGAAGCAGAGUCCAGCUCCAGCUUCAAGAGUAGGUGUGUGACCCAGGCUGGCUACUCAGAUCUUUCCAUCUCUUCCGUUUGUCUUAGAGGUGGGCUCAUGAUCCUGUCAGAGACGCUGAGAUGCACUUCCGGGGCAUUACAGAAGCUGUUGGGGGAAAGCCCCUCGUUCCCGGUAGCCAUCUUGAUUCCAGGAGUGUGGAGCCGAGGAACGAACGGAGCUAGCGCUGUGCGAGGCAGAGCCACGGGAGAGAGCCAGUGCUUUCGUGGCAUACAGAUGGUGUUCAAUUAACAGAAGAAAAAUUAUUCAUAUAUGCUUCAUCAGAGACAACUGAAGACGAAAAAACUACCAUCCCCGUAUGCGACUAAUUCACACUGCACACCGCCAAGCGCCUGCUCUGAAUUCCAUGCACACCGUACCAGAAAAACUCCACUUUGUAAGGUUCCAGGAAAAGAGCCUUUGGAAAUCCCCUGACCUCACCCCACCGCCCAGGAGCCAAUCGGACCCCAGACCAAAAUCUCCGGACUUAACGCUCAGGAACCUGUGGUCUACCUAGACAGCAGGGACCAAUCAAGAACCAACACACAACCCUUCGAAAGAAAGUGACCAAUCAGACGUCCCCCUACCUAGAAAUCCUUUUUUCCAUGUAUGCUCCCUAUAUAAGCAAUGUAAUCCAAGACCCGGGGCUCCUCCCUAUAGCGCUGCGUCGGUAUGGUGGGAGCCCCAGCUCGAGCUUGGUAAUAAAAGCUCUCUUGCUUUUGCAUCGGAUAUCGGCUCCCUGGUGGUCGUUGGGAGAUUUCGUGACUUGGG
rnacentral:lncRNA from 1 species